GAUGAACGCUGGCGGCGUGCCUAAUACAUGCAAGUCGAGCGAACGGACGAGAAGCUUGCUUCUCUGAUGUUAGCGGCGGACGGGUGAGUAACACGUGGAUAACCUACCUAUAAGACUGGGAUAACUUCGGGAAACCGGAGCUAAUACCGGAUAAUAUUUUGAACCGCAUGGUUCAAAAGUGAAAGACGGUCUUGCUGUCACUUAUAGAUGGAUCCGCGCUGCAUUAGCUAGUUGGUAAGGUAACGGCUUACCAAGGCAACGAUGCAUAGCCGACCUGAGAGGGUGAUCGGCCACCCUGGAACUGAGCCACGGUCCAGACUCCUACGGGAGGCAGCAGUCGGGAAUCUUCCGCAAUGGGCGAAAGCCUGACGGAGCAACGCCGCGUGAGUGAUGAAGGUCUUCGGAUCGUAAAACUCUGUUAUUAGGGAAGAACAUAUGUGUAAGUAACUGUGCACAUCUUGACGGUACCUAAUCAGAAAGCCCCGGCUAACUACGUG
rnacentral:rRNA from 1 species